CCUACGGUGGGCAGCAGUGGGGACUAUUGGUCAAUGGGCGCAAGCCUGACCCAGCAACGCCGCGUGCAGGAAGAAGGCUUUCGGGUUGUAAACUUCUUUUAUGAGGGACGAAAGAAAUGACGGUACCUCAUGAAUAAGCCACGGCUAACUACGUGCCAGCAGCCGCGGUAAUACGUAGGUGGCACUCGUGAUCCGGAUUGACUGGGUUUAAAGGGCGUGUAGGCGGGACUGCAAGUCAGAUGUGAAAAUUAUGGGCUCAACCCAUAACCUGCAUUUGAAACUGGAGUCCUUGUGUGAGGGAGAGGCAGGCGGAAUUCCGGGUGUAGCGGUGAAAUGCGUAGAUAUAAGGAGGAACACCAGUGGCGAAGGCGGCCUGCUGGACAUUAACUGACGCUGAGGCGCGAAAGCGUGGGGAGCAAACAGGAUUAGAUACCCUUGUAGUC
rnacentral:rRNA from 1 species